rnacentral:misc_RNA from 1 species
UUGAAUGAAACCUCUGGCUGGACGCUGUUGUGCUGGCCCUUUUGGGGGGGCAAUGUGCACACCUCUGGUCGUUUGUUUCUUCUGUUCCACCUGUGCACUGCCUGUAGACACUCUGUGUCUAUGAUAUGAUAUGUUACACACACAUUUGGAUGUAGGAAUGUUAUACGUAUGAAAUAAAUA